rnacentral:rRNA from 1 species
GAAUGCCGGGCCGUGGAGGGUGAUGGCCCCGUAGCCGUAUGCACGUCGUCCCGUGAUCGCGUGUCCCAAGUAGCGCGGGCCUCGUGGAAUCCCGCGUGAAUCCGCCCCGACCGUGGGGUGAGCCUGAGUAUACCCGUCUGACCGAUAGCGUACGAGUACCGUGAGGGAAAGGUGAAAAGCACCCCGGGAGGGGAGUGAAAGAGUUCCU